UGGGGAAUCUUGCGCAAUGGGGGGAACCCUGACGCAGCCAUGCCGCGUGAAUGAAGAAGGCCUUCGGGUUGUAAAGUUCUUUCGGUAUUGAGGAAGGUUGAUGUGAUAAUAGCACAUCAAAUUGACGUUAAAUACAGAAGAAGCACCGGCUAACUCCGUGCCAGCAGCCGCGGUAAUACGGAGGGUGCGAGCGUUAAUCGGAAUAACUGGGCGUAAAGGGCACGCAGGCGGUUAUUUAAGUGAGGUGUGAAAGCCCUGGGCUUAACCUAGGAAUUGCAUUUCAGACUGGGUAACUAGAGUACUUUAGGGAGGGGUAGAAUUCCACGUGUAGCGGUGAAAUGCGUAGAGAUGUGGAGGAAUACCGAAGGCGAAGGCAGCCCCUUGGGAAUGUACUGACGCUCAUGUGCGAAAGCGUGGGGAGCAAACAGGAUUAGAUACCCUGGUAGUCCACGCUGUAAACGCUGUCGAUUUGGGGGUUGGGGUUUAACUUUGGCGCCCGUAGCUAACGUGAUAAAUCGACCGCCUGGGGAGUACGGCCGCAAGGUUA
rnacentral:rRNA from 1 species